UAAAUCAAGCAAACAUAUUCCUGAAAUUUAAACAAACCUCACCUGAUCAAGAAACAAAAAUCCGCGUAUGACGCGAGCACUCGCGGGGGGCAUAAGAGGGAGAGAGAAGGGGAAAAGUACGCUGUAAUUGUAACCGAGUUCCCCGAAGUGACCAGGAGACGGUGGCGUGAGCUCACUGCGCAUGCGCAGACGCUAAAAGGAUACCUUCAAAGUAUAACCGCGAAAACGCGUGCUUCUCUACUUACUCCGAAUAGAACGAUUCAGUCGCGUAUUGCCGGCCGUUCUGUAUACAAUAUUACCGCCACCGGCAUACUCUCCCUCUAUUCAACAAGUACUUGGCUCUAAUUAAUAUUAAAUUCACCUGGAAGUUUAUUUAAAUUAAAAGUGGAUUAAAAAAGUGUAUUUUAUUUAUUUUAUUUCUUGACAAAGAAUUUGAAUUUUAGUCGCUUGGAACAAUAUUUAAUAUUAUUAGCUAGGAAAAUUACGAUCAAUGUUGUUUUGAUAGUUAAAUUUCAAAUUUUAAACCAAAAAAAUUACCCCAAAAAAACCAAAUUUUUCUUUAAAAAAUAAAUUAAUUUUUUUAUACAUAUUUUAUGUUUUCGAUAUAAAUUUUUUUUUUAAUUGAUAAUAUCAAGAAUUUAUCUCAAUAUAUAAGCUAUCAUAAACAAAAUAAAUGAGUCGAAAACAGAUGAGGUGGAAUUCGCGAACUGCUAAAGGUAUAGCAAUCCUAACAAAGAUCAGCAAAGUUUGCUCCCGUAAGCAAACAAUUCGAGCAAUGUUCACUUGUCGGUUAGUUAAAUCUAAACUGUUGUAUGACUUAUAUAUAUAUAUAUCUGUACAUAGUUUAUCAUAAUAAUAAUUGUUGAUUGAAGUAAUAACAAAUUAUAAUUUAAAAGAAAUAUUUAUCGACUAUACUUAUUCAUAGUACGUGUUCGCUCUUCGAUUCUUCAUCCGCUGAAUGUAAACUUUAUUUAAAGUUUUACUUAAGAUCGUUAUAUUAUAGAUGUACAUAUACAUACAAUUACAUACAAUUAAUUAAAAAAUAAAAGUUAUUCUAGUGGUCGAGUUAAGUUCUGUGCACACCCCGACCGCUUUAACCGCCAUGUGCUCAAAAAUUUCGUUAAGUUUGCAUUUAGGAAUAUUUUAUAAUUAAACUAUUAUAUUUAUGAAAAGCGAAUAUAUUUAUAUCAAAGUAUUGUUUUGUCUUUCGCUGUAAAAAUAGUAUGGAUACUCUUUCUGGUGAUUGUUCUCAUGAAAAUUCAGCUCACCGUUGUCUCGGUUUGUUUUAUUGCCGAGUUGAUUCAAGUUUCUUAAAAGCUCUCAGUCUUAGUAUUGCUGCUCUUUAUCUCAGAACUCUUAAAUGAGCCAUCGAUUCAGGCCAAAUUUUUAAGUAACAAUUUUUUUUAUGAAUCUCAACUCGGUUUAAUUUUUUAUACAUUUAUUAUUAAAUUAAAUUAAAUUUAUUUAUACACAGGAGCAAACAUUUGAUAUUUCAUCGAAAAAACCCAAUCAAAAUUUCUCGAGUUACUGCGCAUGCGUCGCCGCCAUUUCACGCGCUUCGCCAUUUGCUUUUAAACACGAAAAAACGUUAAAAAGCUGUAACUGACGGAAAAACAAUUAUUUUUUUACUUUUGAAUGAAUUAGACUUAACAGUUUGCUCCUCAAAAUUGCAUCGAAGAUUUUGAUCAUGAAAAAAGGCAAAAUAAGUGAUGAUUAUAAAUUAUAAAUUAUAAAUUAUAGGUAAAUAUUUUUUGUAACUUAUUUAAAAUUAAAGAAAGUUUACUGUUAAAUAGAAAGGUUUUUAUUUGUUUUGUUUAAGUUAGAUUUUUAUAAGAGUAUGAAAGACUUGAUUAGAAAAAGAUGCACAUAAUAAUAUCUAAUUGUUAAAAGUUAAAACCGUCGUAUAUUUAAAUUUUAAGUAGAAAAAUGAUCCGUAGCUUAAAUUUUGCCUCAGGCAUAAAAUAUUGAGUAUUAUUGUAAAAUAUUAUACAAGUAUCCUAUUAUUAUUUAUAAAUAAUUAUUUUAUUUAAUGUAAUAUACAUGUUUACCGUUUACUUUCGCCAGAGUCUAAGAAAUAUAAUAGAACACUAGUGUAAUAAAUAAAUAAAUAAAUGGAUUUUGGGAAAUGUAAACAGAUAAAUAGACGUGAAUGUGUGUUGAUACAUGUAAAUGUAUAUGUAUACAGUAUUCAUCGAUCUAAAAUAAUUUAUUUGUAUUAUAGCUCAUUGAAAUAAUUAAAUUGUAAAUACUUUAGAUAUUCAAAGUGCUAAUAUGUCUUUCGAUGUAGAUUAGUACCGAUCAAUGUAAUUGAUAAUAAAAAAUAAUUAAUAUCUAAAAAA